rnacentral:lncRNA from 1 species
GAAGGCUCCUGGUCUACCACAGGAGGUGAUCUCUAGUGAAGAAGGUUCUCUUACAAGACCACCAACAUUCUUCAAACAUCAGUGAAAUAAAACAGGAGGAGGGUUUCGAGCUCUGGAUCCUCAGCCUGGAAAUGUCACAAUUUAAUCCCAAAGGUUUGCUGUGAAGUUGUAAGCAUGACAGUGUGAAACUCGACAGAUUAUUCUUGAAUUCUUUGUUUGUUUUCGUUGUGACCCGACUCUCAUAAAAUUUAUGUUUUCUUCCAAACCCCCAGGGUGUGUGGUCAUAUGACUUAAAUAGAGAAAAACAUUGUCAAAACAGUAUUGAGGAGUUAUCACUUUUACAUUGUUUUAAUUAAAGAAAAAGCCUUUCUAUCCAGGUCUAAUACCAUCAUUUUUAUGGGCAUGUUAAAGUAUCUAAUCUAAUACUGUAGUUAGUAGUAGUAUUUAGUAUUUUUAGUAUUAUUAUAGUUUUAUCUGUAUCUUAAAGAAAAAGUCAAUAAAUAUGAA